GUCGUCAGCUCGUGUCGUGAGAUGUCGGUAAGUCCGCAACGAGCGCAACCCCUAUUGUUAGUUGCCAUCAUUCAGUUGGGCACUCUAGCGAGACUGCCGGUAAUAAACCGGAGGAAGGUGGGGAUGACGUCAAAUCAUCAUGCCCCUUAUGACCUGGGCUACACACGUGCUACAAUGGUUGGUACAACGAGUUGCGGGUCGGUGACGGCGAGCUAAUCUCUUAAAGCCAAUCUCAGUUCGGAUUGUAGGCUGCAACUCGCCUACAUGAAGUCGGAAUCGCUAGUAAUCGCGGAUCAGCACGCCGCGGUGAAUACGUUCCCGGGCCUU
rnacentral:rRNA from 1 species